CAGCCGCCGCGGUAAUACCGGCGGCCCGAGUGGCGGCCACUAUUAUUGGGCCUAAAGCGUCCGUAGCCGGGCUGGUAAGUCCUCCGGGAAAUCUGGGCGCUUAACGAUCAGACUUCCGGAGGAUACUGCUGGCCUAGGGACCGGGAGAGGCCGAGGGGAUUCCCGGGGUAGGGGUGAAAUCCUGUAAUCCCGGGAGGACCACCUGUGGCGAAGGCGCUCGGCUGGAACGGGUCCGACGGGGAGGGACGAAGGCCAGGGGAGCGAACCGGAUUAGAUACCCGGGUAGUCCUGGCUGUAAACGAUGCGGACUAGGUGUCGGGCAAGCUAAGGGCUUGUCCGGUGCCGCAGGGAAGCCGUUAAGUCCGCCGCCUGGGGAGUACGGCCGCAAGGCUGAAACUUAAAGGAAUUGGCGGG
rnacentral:rRNA from 1 species